rnacentral:rRNA from 1 species
UACGUAGGGGGCAAGCGUUGUCCGGAUUUAUUGGGCGUAAAGAGCGUGUAGGCGGCCCAGGUAGGUCUGGUGUGAAAACUCGAGGCUUAACCUCGAGAUGUCAUCGGAAACCAUCUGGCUAGAGUCCGGAAGAGGAGAGUGGAAUUCCGUGGUGUAGCGGUGAAAUGCGCAGAUAUCAGGAAGAACACCAAUGGCGAAAGCAGCUCUCUGGGACGGUACUGACGCUGAGACGCGAAAGCGUGGGGAGCGAACAGG